GAAAUAAAGUCUCUUCUGCGGAAAUCAAAAAGAUCACUGCUAGACAGGGAGAGUAGCUAAAGGAGUUGGUAAAUAUCUACCACUUUGUGAUAGAAACAGCUGCUUAUGCUUCAACUUGUGGGCUGACUAUAACAUACCAUUCAGUGCAUUAGUAGAAUAUAUAUGCUUAAAUUAAUGAAACGGAUUAGAAUUUUUCAUAUUUUUUGUCUUGGUUACCCAAUUUUAAGCAGCCAAAGAUGCAAUUCAUUUGUGAGGGACCAAACUAUUUUCAAAUGUUAAUGAAUGCAACCUGCGAGUGAUUUACCAAAUUCCCAACACUCCGGGUGUAUGAUGUUAUGUAGAAUUGUUUUAUGUUAUUUAUCAUCAUGUUAUAAACAACAUACAAGCCUUUUCACA
rnacentral:misc_RNA from 1 species